CUAAAGUCAACAGUCGCUUGGUUUGAGCUCAAAUAAAUGCGGGGAUGCCUCGGCUCGGAGCAGUCGGCCUCCUCCCUCCGCGAGCUGGACGCUCCGCAGCCCGCCCGCCAGCCGGCCCGCCGGCCGCCGCAGGAAUCCCUGGAUAAAGACCAGCUCAACCAUCGCUGAGAAAACAGACCUAGGCUUCCCAGGGCGGUUAACCCGCCGGCCUCUGGGCAGAGACUAAAAGACAAAACAAAAUAAAACAACAACAAAAAACUCCCAGUGUGUUUCCUACUCUUCUUUGUCUUGGAGGAAAGCAAAGGGAGAGAAAUGGACUUCACCAGUGGUCUUUGGCUUCAUCAAUUCACAGGAAAUGGCAUCAAGAUGGUUCAACUAAGACAUGAUCACUAAAAACAUUAUAAUAAUACCUUUUUGAAAAACUCAGUUUCUCCUGUUUACUAAAUAUUUAUUUCAUCAACAUGGGCUGCGUUCCACUGUGUCAGGAUUCUGCAUGUGGGUGGAGCACUGUUCCAGCCUGAGAAGAUGGUUCUGAGGCCACUUAGCAAGACAUUUUCCAGCAUGAGCAGGUUUCUCUGUGGAAAUAGUGACACCUGUUCUGGUGUGUUGUCUUUCCUCAGGGAACUUAAGGGGUACAAAGCUCCUGAAAAUGUUCUUUAUGCUGGUUGAAGCUCUUAUGUCGCUGUACUGAUUCCCUACGAUGCAGAUUUGAAUCACAGAGUAAUUAAAAUAUGGAUCAAAUAAGGCUGGGGCUCACCAAGGCUGAAAGCUGUAGCCAUUCAAGGCAUCAUUUCUGUCAUGAAAAUAUAGGACCUUUUCAAAACAUGCCUUCAGGAAGGUGUUCUCUUUUCAAACAAAAGUCUAAUGACUGCAUAACUCUUCUUGACCACAUCUUACACUUUCUCUAGACUUGCUUAUUUACAGCUACUGGAACAAAAAGAUGAAAUGAAUAAAGCACACUGAUUGUCCUAAGAGUCUUCUGUGACUAAAAGCACAUGAGCUUCUCCCCAGGCUGAGCUUUGACCCUCCCAAGCAUUUCCCCAAAGGCCAUGACACUGCAUCAGAUUGCUCCUGGACACUUUCCUCAGAGUUUUCAACAAAUAUAAACUGAGGAGUGGAGCACAGCACCAGAUUUGCUAAUCAAGAGGCAAUGGUCCCAGUCCAAAUGGGUGCUGUGUGUGAAUACAGAGCCCAGGAGAAGGGAAGGAGGUCUGUGAACAUCAGGAAUUGCAAAAUCUUGCUGAACCAAUAGACCAACAGCCAUUAACAUUUGUCAAUGCAAAGAUCCUAAAAUAUACAAGUGUGGAGUUGUCCUGCCCUAAGAGCUGAAGCUGUGACAAUCACGCUGCCAUGAAAAAAACGCUUUCGUAUAUUUUUCCUGCUGGGUGGUCAGAAGGAAAGGCCGUGAAGCUAAAGGUCUCCCACUGAGACGCUGUUCUGCAAGGAGCCGACCUCACGUGCCGCCGCCGCCAGAGAAGAGAGCACCUGUUCAUCUCGGCUCACUGUGAGGCUGAGCUCAGCGCUGGCAGGCGAGGGGCCGCAAGCAUCCCCCACAGCCACCGAGAGGGCAUCCCUGCAGGGAAAUCAUAUCCGACAUGCCUGUGCCCACAGCAGACUUAAGACUGCCUCUAAAAUGUCCAUGAAGCCAUUGUCCAGUAGAGCUGUUAGUUUUAACACCAGUGAGUAUUACCUUUGGUUAAAAGGAUGCAUGUGUAUAGGUGUAUGUGUGUGCGUGUGUGUUUGUGUUUUUGGACUUGUGUGGAGAAUGAAGAAAGGGUUCCAUUUAGGCAUUUGCAAAUAUUCGAUGGCAUCAUGAAAAGACAAAAAAAUCCUAUAAA
rnacentral:lncRNA from 1 species